CCCUAACCCUGCAGCUGGGAGAGGAGCCCCAGCCCCCAUACUUCCAGGUGUUCCCAUUCACUAAUCAGGACAGGAUAAGGAAAACUCACCAUGGAGCUUGUGCUUGGCUGGGUUUUCCUUGUUGCUCUUUUAAAAGGUGUCCAGUGUGAGGUGCAGCUGGUGGAAUCUGGGGGAGACCUGGUGAAACCUGGGGGGUCCCUGAGACUUUCCUGUGCAGCCUCUGGAUUCACCUUCAGUAGCUACUGGAUGAGUUGGGUCCGCCAGGCUCCAGGGAAGGGGCUGCAGUGGGUCACAAGUAUUAGCAAUACUGGUAGUAACACAUACUAUGCAGACUCUGUGAAGGGCCGAUUCACCAUCUCCAGAGACAACGGCAAGAACACGCUGUAUCUGCAGAUGAACAGCCUGAGAGCUGAGGACAUGGCUGUGUAUUAUUGUGCAAUGGACACAGUGAGAGGACAUCAGUGUGAGCCCAGACACAAACCUCUCUGUAGGAGGGGAUCUGGACCUCCAGGGGAGCACACCACUCACCAGUUCUGUCUUUAG